GCCGCUUUAGCUCAGCUGGUAGAGCACAUCAUUCGUAAUGAUGGGGUCACAGGUUCGAGUCCUGUAAGCGGCA
rnacentral:tRNA from 1 species